rnacentral:misc_RNA from 1 species
CUUCCAAUACUGAUUCCAUGGCCAGGUCCGCAAGCAACAUUUUCAGCCCAUAAAUUAGUGGUGCCAGGGCCAACUGAUACACAAUCAUCACCUGUACCAAUCUUGGAAUUCAAGAUUGUGACACCAGUUGAUGAUUCAACAUGAAUACCAUCAGUGUUCGGGCUAUCGCCAGGGGCAGAGACUCUCACAUUUUGUACUUUCACAUUCUGGCAGCCGUUGAUGACAAUGUGAAACUUCUGGCUAUCUUGUGAUGCUAAUCCAUUGAUUUCAAUAUUAUUGGAAUUGGAAAAUUCUAUUGACGUUGCUCCUUCGGGGCAACUCUUGUCGGAGGCUUUGCAUGACCACAAGCCAGUGCCUUGACCGUCCA